UACGUAGGGGGCUAGCGUUGUCCGGAAUCAUUGGGCGUAAAGCGCGUGUAGGCGGUCCGGUAAGUCCGCUGUGAAAGUCGGGGGCUCAACCCUCGGAUGCCGGUGGAUACUGUCGGGCUUGAGUACGGAAGAGGCGAGUGGAAUUCCUGGUGUAGCGGUGAAAUGCGCAGAUAUCAGGAGGAACACCCGUAGCGAAGGCGGCACUCUGGGCCGGAACUGACGCUGAGGAGCGAAAGCGUGGGGAGCAAACAGG
rnacentral:rRNA from 1 species